UGAGUGCGAGCUGCUACGGCAGCGAAGUUGGUGACGUCAAGCUUCCAAGAAAAGCCCUAUACCCGUUAAGGCAUGAUUGCCUGUACCCGAAACCGACACAGGUGGGGUGGUAGAGAAUACCGAGGGGCGCGAGGUAACUCUCUCUAAGGAACUCGGCAAAAUGACCCCGUAACUUCGGGAGAAGGGGUGCCACCGCAAGGUGGUCGCAGUGAAUAGGCCCAGGCGACUGUUUACCAAAAACACAGGUCUCCGCUAAGUCGCAAGACGAUGUAUGGGGGCUGACGCCUGCCCAGUGCCGGAAGGUUAAGGAAGUUGGUCAGCGAAAGCGAAGCUAGCGACUGAAGCCCCGGUGAACGGCGGCCGUAACGAUAACGGUCCUAAGGUAGCGAAAUUCCUUGUCGGGUAAGUUCCGACCCGCACGAAAGGCGUAACGAUCUGGGCGCUGUCUCGGAGAGAGGCUCGGCGAAAUAGAAUUGUCUGUGAAGAUGCGGACUACGUGCACCUGGACAGAAAGACCCUAUGAAGCUUUACUGUAGCUUGGUAUUGUGUCCGGGCUCUGAAUGCGCAGGAUAGGUGGGAGGCUUUGAUCCAUUGCUUGCGGGUGAUGGUGAGCCAACGGUGAGAUACCACUCUUUCAGAGCUAGGAUUCUAACGGUCACCCGUCAUCCGGGGACCGGACAGUAUCUGGUGGGCAGUUUGACUGGGGCGGUCGCCUCCUAAAAGGUAACGGAGGCGCGCAAAGGUCUGCUCAGGCUGGUUGGAAAUCAGCCGACGAGUGCAAAAGCAGAGGCAGGCUUGACUGUGAGACCUACAAGUCGAACAGGGGGGAAACCCGGCUUUAGUGAUCCGACGGUUCUGAGUGGAAGGGCCGUCGCUCAACGGAUAAAAGUUACUCUAGGAUAACAGGCUGAUCUCCCCCAAUAGUUCACAUCGACGGGGAGGUUUGGCACCUCGAUGUCGGCUCAUCGCAACCUGGGGCUGAAGUCGGUCCCAAGGGUUGGGCUGUUCGCCCAUUAAAGCGGUACGCGAGCUGGGUUCAGAACGUCGUGAGACAGUUCGGUCCAUAUCCGGUGCAUGCGCAGGAAUAUUGAGAGGAUUUCUCCCUAGUACGAGAGGACCGGGAGGAACGCACCUCUGGUGUACCAGUUAUCGUGCCAACGGUAAACGCUGGGUAGCCAUGUGCGGAGUGGAUAACCGCUGAAAGCAUCUAAGUGGGAAGCCCACCUCAAGAUGAGUAUUCCCAUGGCGUUAGCCAGUAAGGUCACGGGCAGAACACCCGUUGAUAGGCUCUACGUGGAAGCGCAGUAAUGUGUGAAGCGGAGGAGUACUAAUAGACCGAGGGCUUGAUC
rnacentral:rRNA from 1 species